AAUCUGUGCUGUGGGCACCUCCGCAGAUGAUCCUUGAAGCUCUCCCAUAUCUCAAAUAAUGACUCCAACUCCAUCUGUACAAAUGACGAAAUCUCAUUGUGAAGCUU